rnacentral:rRNA from 1 species
UACGUAGGGGCAAGCGUUGUCCGGAAUCAUUGGGCGUAAAGAGCGUGUAGGCGGCCAGGUAGGUCCGUUGUGAAAACUGGAGGCUUAACCUCCAGCGGUCGAUGGAAACCAUCUGGCUAGAGUCCGGAAGAGGAGAGUGGAAUUCCUGGUGUAGCGGUGAAAUGCGCAGAUAUCAGGAAGAACACCCGUGGCGAAGGCGGCUCUCUGGGACGGUACUGGACGCUGAGACGCGAAAGCGUGGGGAGCGAACAGG